CCAAUCAAUUACUAUAAUAGGCAAAUAGAACUGAUUAAAGGUAAUGAGGAUCAGGUAUUUCCACAAGAUACUGAUAAAAAUCACAUAUACUGAAAUGACAAAGUCAUUAGCAAAAGAUAUAAUAAAGGAAUAUGUGUGUACCAAAAAGAGUGCAUUAUAUUUCCAUAGUGAAAUAGACUUCCCACUGUUCCAAAGGGCAUUCCUAAAAAUAAUCAGUCCCAAUCACUUGAUGUGAAAAUGUGAAAAUUGAAAUCACUACCAGUAAAAACGGAGUUUCUGAUGAAGAACGAUCAUAAAACGAUCAAUGACAAAUUAAGAAUUAUUUCAAGCGAGGAUAACAUAGAGAACAAGCUCACAAAAUUCGAGUUAAUUCUAUACACUUAUAAUCAUAAAUCGGUUCAUAAUACUACAAAAAGAUCCCCAGCUGAUAUCUUCCUGUACGCCGGACUAUCAGAUUAUAACACCCAACUGAAUAAGGUUAGGAAGAUCAAUCAUUUAAAUAACGAUAGAAUCGACUUUGAAGUAGACACACGCUACAAAAAUGCACCCCUAGUUAAAAAAUAACAACCAAUCCGAUCAAAAGAAUAGGGGAAAUUCGGCAGAGUACCCGAAGAGAGUACUGGGAAUCUGGAGCUACAACAUGAUUAAGAUUAUAAUCUUACCUAUGUUCACCGUCCUACAGUCUACCGGAAAGAAUAUAGAGAUAGAUCCCAUCAACUCAAGGAAUGGAUAUCUCAUAUUCAAAACAGAUACCAUUAACAUACCCAUUAAUUAUGAAUAUCAUUAUUUAACAAUUAAUAUAACAAGAACAGAUGAAACAUA